AGAGAAUUGAAGAGAAUUUACAUCAGUUAAAAAUUUUAAGCGUUUCAAAUGUUAAUAGCGUUUGGUUUGGAAUAAGACUAUGCUUGACGUAAUGAAUUCCUCUUUGCAUUUGCAGUGAAGCAGAUGUCUGCUUUCUGUGUCUGACAGGGGACCCAAUCCAUUGCUUUUUGACGUCAAUAGGACCGGGGCUUUUUCAAGGGCACGCAUUUAUCUUGUCAGUGUGGUCUAACCAGCCAGCCUCGCUUCACUGCUCUGGUCUCACACAGAUGGACAUCUUAGGAUGAACUGAAGAGACUCCUGACCAACUGUGAGGUCUCAAGCAGGCAGAGGGAAAGAUAUCAUGUCCUGUAUUGUUUCAUUUUUUUCAUCAGUCACAGCAAAUACGGAGCACACAAACCAAUCCAUUGGAACGCAAAAUUAUAACGUACAGAUUUAUGCAAGAGGGAUGACUGCAAAGUGCGUUUCAUGAGCAGUGCUCUGAACAAACAUGUUUUUCCAGAAUCGACUAAUAAGAUUACUAAUUGCAUUUCAUCAACAGAAUUGUUUAUCAGGAUCUGUGUCUUGAUUAAGAUUCUGUUGUGGCAAGUGCCUCUAUCAAUCACAGGGAGAUCAAGUCCUUGCCUGAAGAUGUGCAUAUAA
rnacentral:lncRNA from 1 species